rnacentral:rRNA from 1 species
AUUGAACGCUGGCGGCAUGCCUUACACAUGCAAGUCGAACGGUAACGCGGGGCAACCUGGCGACGAGUGGCGAACGGGUGAGUAAUGCAUCGGGACGUGCCCAGUAGUGGGGGAUAGCCCGGCGAAAGCCGGAUUAAUACCGCAUACGACCUACGGGUGAAAGCGGGGGACCGUAAGGCCUCGCGCUAUUGGAGCGGCCGAUGUCAGAUUAGGUUGUUGGUGGGGUAAAAGCCUACCAAGCCGACGAUCUGUAGCUGGUCUGAGAGGACGACCAGCCACACUGGGACUGGGACACGGCCCAGACUCCUACGGGAGGCAGCAGUGGGGAAUUUUGGACAAUGGGGGCAACCCUGAUCCAGCCAUGCCGCGUGCGGGAAGAAGGCCUUCGGGUUGUAAACCGCUUUUGUCAGGGAAGAAACGCUCUGGGCUAAUACCCCGGGGUAAUGACGGUACCUGAAGAAUAAGCACCGGCUAACUACGUGCCAGCCGCCGCAGUAAUAC